UUUGUAACAUCUAUCGUCUCGUUACAUAGCGAUCGUAUCGUUAGAAUGUCAUCGUUCCGGAACGAUAGGUUUCAGCUCACCGUUAGAAGUGUCAGAACACGUUAGAAAAGUAUUUAUACAAUGAAGAGGAACGUUUUGGUGCAAAUAUGGGUAGAGAAGGUAAAUAGACAGAAUGAGAAAUUUGUCUCGGGUCUUAAGAGAUGUAAACGACCCCUUGAUCGUUGGAGAAGAAACCUUUAGGAAGACCUACCAACUGUAAUGGGAAGCGGCGAGAGGCACAUUUCCAGAAAUACUGCCGCAGAGUUCUGUAUUAUUCACCAGAAGUUGCAGGAAAAAUUAUAUACUCAUGUGCUGUUUCACACAACAUCUUACGCAUAAGAAAUAUCGAAAAUGACGAGAUCAAUAUUGUCUAUGACAAGGAGAACGAUAAUAAUGAAGAACUUGAAUAUGAAGAACACAAUUUACUACAUGAAUGGCAUAUCACAAGAAAUAAUUUAAUAAUACAGCAUUUUCAAUAA